CACUGAGCCCAGUUAUUAUGGUAUUAAAUCUGUGAUUCUGUGAUGAUUUCUCAACAAUAUAUGGUUUAGUGGAUAACCUUGAGAAUGUAAGCCAAAUAUACAAACGAAUUAUACAUUCCUGAGACAAACACAGACUAAGACAUGCCUAUUGUGCCAUAGAAUCUUCUGAUUUACAUAAUUAGUUGUGGUGUUGCGAUUACUAAUUAAAG